rnacentral:lncRNA from 1 species
AGUGGGGGAGGCGGGGUGUCUGGGAAGUAGAGGAGAGGCUUCUUGCCUUCAAGAAAGAUGUAAGGGCCCGAAGCUUCACUUACCCCUCUGUACCCGCAAUACGCAACGGCCGAUGAUUGGCGACGAUCCCGGAAGAAGCUGCGCGGUGAUUGGCCUGGGACUGGCGGGGCAUUUGAAGGGACCCCGCGGUCCUGAAGCCUCUGUUGACAGACUGGAGCGCAGCGGAGACCUCGGCAUCUGCGGUGCUCGGGAUUGUGUCCCCUACGGUCUCUUACCGUGCCUCCCGAUGGCGGGAGCUGGAAUUUGGUCCCCAGACCCCUUGGGAAGACGCGCACACCCUGGCAAACCAUGUGUACACCCGCGGUAGAAGCAGGGAAACGCUGACCAGUUUGUGUGAACGCCAUCACCCACACUCUUGAAAUAUAUCUGGAAAGUGCCGGAAGUGAACUGGGGGAUCCUUGCCUCCCAAAACAGGGAUGGGCUCUGAACGCCCCACCACGGCCUGCUGCCACGCGCGCCUCUCGCUGCAGGAGCGGUGGAUCCACCGAUGGGCUUCCAGGGCGGUCUUGCGCUUGAAGCCUUUCCCACACUCCACGCAGGGGAAGGGCCGGCUGUCGGAGUGAAUGCGCCGGUGACUGAGGAGGAGGGAAGAAUAGGUGAAGCGGCGGCCGCAGUCAGGACAGGGGUAGGGCUUCUCGCCGGUGUGUAUGCGCCUGUGGAUGGCCAGCAGGGAGGUGUAGGCGAAACGGAGGCUGCAAUCGGGGCAGCUGUAGGGCUUCUCGCCCGUGUGCUUGCGCUGGUGGAUGGCCAGCAGGUAGGGGUAAGUGAAGCGACUCUUGCAGUCUGAGCACGCGUAAGGCUUCUCCCCGGUGUGAGCCCGCCUGUGGAUAGCCAGGGAACCCCUCUGGCGGAAGCGGCGCCCGCAGUCGGGGCAGGGGUAGGGCUUCUCGCCGGUG